CUGCAAACACUCUAACUUUAACCACUCAAGCUCCAACAUCUCCAGCAUCAGUCACAAGUACGACAACGACAACUGCAAACGCCCCAACUACAACCACUUCAGUUUCAACCAAUCCAGCAUCAGCCACGAGUAUAGCAACGACAAGUGCAAACACCCCAACUAUAACCACUGCAGCUUUGACUACUCAAAUCUCAGCCACAACUACGACAACUCCAACUACAAAAAACCCAAUUAAGAGUGCGACAACUGCAGCUUCAACCUCGAGAAAAACCACUGCCACAACGAACGCUCCAACUACAGCCUUAAGUCCGACAAUUCCAUCUACAUCUCCAACAACAAGCAAUCAAAGGACAACCACGACUAAACAGUUAGGGGAAGUUUGUCAACAGCAGAGCGAGAAGUACAGCUGUGAGGAUCCCAACUCGUCAUGCACUAAUGUCAAUGGGCAGGGGGAGAAAAUAUGCGCAUGCAACCGUGACUUCAAUGACGAUAACGGUUCUACCGUGGGAGGGAAAUGCGUACAAAGAAUUUCCAUCUGAUAGAAGUGUCCCUACUUCUUAUAUGACGACAAGCGCGUAACCUGUCGCCAGAACAGCGAGUGUCUGCCCGGCCCAUCCACGGGCUAUACUGGCCUAAGACUACAAUUAUUUUUACUAUAUGUUUCAUAUAGACACUAACCUUGCUUUUCACUUUAAAACAGUCCCCAUUGAAAAACAAG